AGGAAAUGCUGGUACCUUUCCAGGAGAUUCCGGAAUAUCAUUCCGCUUUUGCUGUCUAUAUACGGUUUUCAGAUGGCCUAUGGGUGGUUAAUUAUACACCUCCCUGGACACCCUGGGAGCAGAAGAAGCCCUCCGAUGUUCUCCAGAUGUGGGAGGUUAUCGAUGCAUCCGUUUAGUAAUGUGAGGGGGAGACUGGGCCACUACUACACCCGUUAUGUUCCGCGGCCUGGAGUACAAUGGGGAGAAAUGUGACUGCAGGGAUGAGCACGCAGACC